rnacentral:rRNA from 1 species
UACGUAGGUGGCGAGCGUUAUCCGGAAUGAUUGGGCGUAAAGGGUGCGUAGGCGGCCUGCUAAGUCUGGAGUGAAAGGUACCGGCUCAACCGGUACAGGCUCUGGAAACUGGCGGGCUAGAGAGCAGGAGAGGGCGGUGGAACUCCAUGUGUAGCGGUAAAAUGCGUAGAUAUAUGGAAGAACACCAGUGGCGAAGGCGGCCGCCUGGCCUGUUGACUGACGCUGAGGCACGAAAGCGUGGGGAGCAAAUAGG